AUUUAAAAUUAUACAGGCUAAAACAGGUCCUCAUUUUCAGAGUCACACUUGCAGAGAUUAUCAUAUUGUUGCCUUCAUACGAGGAUUUUCAACCACUUGAAACUCAAGAGUAAGUGAAGAUGGAUGUUUUUUGAGAAGGGUCAUGCACUACAGAAUGCUGUGUGGCGGGAGACAUCAGACAUGUAGCAGUUGUUAAAUUGCUAAUCCAACCUGUGAUGGCCAUGUAAAUUUGUGUUGAGUUUGUGAUACUGAUGGUUGUCGGGAUGAUAUAUUCAAUGUUCGGUGCCUUAGUAAUUGAUUUUCAUGUUGAGUCUUCACAUGUUGCAAAUCGACCUAAAGUUGUUGUUGCUCCCUUGUUUCUAUAAAAGGGAAUUCAGGGUCAUUUGCAAAGGGUUCUAAAACUUUGUAUUGACUUUUGCAUGGAGAAUCACACA